UACGUAGGGUGCGAGCGUUGUCCGGAAUUAUUGGGCGUAAAGAGCUCGUAGGCGGUCUGUCGCGUCGGUCGUGAAAACUUGGGGCUUAACCCUGAGCUUGCGGUCGAUACGGGCAUGACUGGAGUUCGGCAGGGGAGACUGGAAUUCCUGGUGUAGCGGUGAAAUGCGCAGAUAUCAGGAGGAACACUGGUGGCGAAGGCGGGUCUCUGGGCCGAUACUGACGCUGAGGAGCGAAAGCGUGGGGAGCGAACAGG
rnacentral:rRNA from 1 species